rnacentral:tRNA from 1 species
AAAAGCCUUAGGGUGUUUAUCAUGUCGAAUUGCAAAUUCGAAGGUGUAGAGAGUCCCUCUACUAAGGCUU